rnacentral:rRNA from 1 species
UACGUAGGGGGCUAGCGUUGUCCGGAUUUAUUGGGCGUAAAGAGCGUGUAGGCGGCCAGGUAGGUCUGGUGUGAAAACUCGAGGCUUAACCUCGAGAUGUCAUCGGAAACCAUCUGGCUAGAGUCCGGAAGAGGCGAGUGGAAUUCCCGGUGUAGCGGUGAAAUGCGCAGAUAUCGGGAGGAACACCAGUAGCGAAGGCGGCACGCUGGGCCGUCUGACGCUGAGGAGCGAAAGCGUGGGGAG